rnacentral:piRNA from 1 species
CCCAUUGGUCUAUCUGUCUGUCUCUAUAC